rnacentral:misc_RNA from 1 species
GUUUUCCGAGAGUCAUGAUUAAAAUCUUAAGGCUGGUUCUAGAUCCUCUAAAAAGGAUUGUCAUUUAUGUGGGAGUGUUUUCUGCAAUAAAUUUGGGGUUCUUUACUUUCAAGAACCUAUUAUUUAGCUAUCAAAUUAACGUACCAGUUUUCAUUCAUUAUUUGAUAAAAUAGAAUUUUAAUGCUUAGCAAGGAAUUUGCCAGUUUAUCUUCAUACGUUUUGCUGCUGGCAUACGUCUAACACACAUUUGGCAUGUCAAUGCACAAUCAUGUUUUUGUAAUAUAGAGAAUGAGUGUAACUUAAAGAUGGAAUAAUGAUUUGCUUGUACUAUUGAAUUGAAAAUUUGACACACCAUAUUCAGCAUUUAUUUAUUGUUCUUUCUUUGGCUGUUGUUUAUCUUCACUUAGCACUUCAUGCUCUAAGUAGUUAUCAACGGAAAUG